ensembl:lncRNA
CUGGGAACAAGGACUCAGAAAAGCACCUUUUCCGUGCACGAGGGAUGCGUAGCCGUCAAAACAGGUUCCAAUCCUUUGGCAGAAAACUCAGGCCCCUUCCUGCUGCAGCUGCCUGCUUUUUGUCCUCAGGAAACGGCAUGCUGGCCUCUGGGCGCAGAACCUCCACCCUUGUUUGGCUGGUGUCUUGUUGCAGCUGGUGGAUGACUUGUAGUUUUAUGUGCAGAAAAGCUCCUGUUGGGCUCCAGCCAGGCGAGUCACCACUCAAAGAGGGGGUCCAGCCGGGCCAUCAGACUCUUCAGGUGUCGCCCUGUCUGGGCCAGCUGUUGUGUCAGUUGGACCAGCUGUUGAACAGUCUGAGAUGGGAGACAGCUCAGCGAGUGGACAAGGCCUAUGUCUUGGGGAAGGUGGCUGAUGCGGCUGAGGACACGGCUGUUUCACCGGCAGAGCCAGGAUGCAAUCCCUGUCUGCCUGAUUCAAAAGAACUGCUCUUAUUUUUCACCCAGAGAAAAAGAGAGGUGACUCCUGCUUUAUAGUUGUGAGAAUCCCAUGAGAAAAUCAACACAAGGUGUCCAGCAGAACUCUCUACGCACAGUCGACAUGUUCACUCCCAGAAACUCUUCAUUGCCUUCUCUCUGUAAUCAGAAGUGACCAAUCGCUGCUAAACCACGACACUGAGAACACGGCUGGUCCCAGCCCCGUGCCUGGGCGUCACUCCGCUCCCACAUGGCGCCCAGUUUCUGCUUGGUGUUCUAAGAUGGGCUUCUUGGGGUAGUGUUCCUCCUCUGGCUCCUCUCCCAUAUGGUGGUUUAAUUGCUAAGUUGUGUCCGACUUUUGCAACCCCAUGGACUGUAGCCCACCAAUCUCCUCUGUCCAUGGGAUUUUUUCCAGGCAAGAAUACUGGAGUGAAUUGCCAUUUCCUUCUGCAGGGGAUCUUCCCGACCCAGGAAUUGAACCCGUGUCUCCUGCGUUGCAGGCAGAGUCUUUACCGACUGAGCUACCAAACGCACAAUAGCUACAAAAAUGAGAAACAGCAUGGCGGUCGUGGUGAGGUUCCAAGACCAUCAUCAAUUCUUAUAAAAAAAAAAUCAUUCUCUUUGAAUGUGGUGCUUAUCUGGGUACCGUGCCAAACUCAGUCUAGGACAGACACUGGGAUAAGUUGAGGGUGGGAAGAGCGUCUCCUGACUAACCCACCAGCUAUAGGAAGUUUUUCUAGACCCAAGGGUUCUCAACCUCACUGGAUCCAACUCCCCCCUUUUUUAAUGAAUACUCUAUAUUAUUACCAUGAAAUAAAAAGGUAAACCACUAUAACUUGCCUUUGAUGGAGUAUUGAUGGGCGAGCACACAAGGGAGCCUUCUGAGGUGUUGGAAAUAUUUUAUAUAUUGAUUUCAGUGGUGGUUAUAUUCAUAUAUAAAAAUUCAUUAAACAAGGGAUCUCUCUUUUACUUUUUUAUAAAUGUAUGUGAAUCUAUAAUUAUCUCCUUUAAAGUUGAAAUUAAAAGUGAGAUCCAGG